rnacentral:rRNA from 1 species
AACGUAGGAGACAAACGUUAUCCGGAGUUACUGGGCGUAAAGGGCUCGUAGGCGGCCAACUAAGUCAGACGUGAAAUCCCUCGGCUUAACCGGGGAACUGCAUCUGAUACUGGAUGGCUUGAGUUCGGGAGAGGGAUGCGGAAUUCCAGGUGUAGCGGUGAAAUGCGUAGAUAUCUGGAGGAACACCGGUGGCGAAGGCGGCAUCCUGGACCAACACUGACACUGAGGAGCGAAAGCCAGGGGAGCAAACGGG